AAAAGCAGUCAGUGGGGAGAUAUUACAAGGCCAAGCAGAUAUCAUGUUCUUCAUCAAAAAUUUCCCCUAAGUUCAGCAACUCUUGAAGCUGUUUCUUUUUUUGCCCGAUCCACUAUUAAGAUGGUUACAAAAGCUGACUUUCCAACUCAGACCUCUUCCAUUCAGCAUCCAGUGCAAGCAAGAUCCUUCCCUAACUUGAUUUAUCAGAUUAUUGGAAUGGAGGCAUGAAUGCCUUUUGUUUAAUGCUGUGUUAUGAAUUAUACUGUUAAUUUUAUUUAAAUUGUCCCAGAUCUAUCUAUAAAAAAUCCCCUUAACAGCUGGCUUCUGUGUCCUUAUGGACAUCUUUUUGUUGUUGUUGUUUUCUUUCAGAAUCUUCUACUUGCUAGCAUGACAAGGUGUUCCAGCCCUUGGGGUGCUUUGUUACACAGCAAGAGAUAACUGAUACAACCGUCAUGGCAUCAUCUUGGCAAUAGCUCUGUCUAGAUCUCCUAGAAUGUGUGAGAGGGUGAAUGUGGUAGAAGGAAAAGACAUUUCUAAGAAAAAUGCUAUUGGAUUAGACAGGGAGGGGCCUGGCCAGAGGUUUCUAGGGUAUUUGCCCCACAGGUCUCAGGAAUAUGGAACAGUGGGUCUAAAAUCUGGGUCCCAGUUUUGGCGUUGUACUAAGCAGCAAUGUAACAGUGACAAAGUCCCCAACCUGCUAUGGUCUCACACGUAAAACAGGGAGAUGACCUGAAUCCUCAAACACCUGUGGCAUAUGUAAGUUGCCAGGUUAGGGGUCAAAUCGGAGCCAUAGUUGCCAGCCUAUGCCACAGCCACAGCAAUUCCAGACCUGAGCCACAUCUGCAACCUACACCACAGCUCACGGCAACGCUGGAUCCUUAAUCCACUGAGCAAAGCCAGGGAUCAAACCCGUGUCCUCAUGGAUACCAGUAGUGUUCGUUAACUGCUGAGCCACAGCAGGAACUCCGAAUCCUGGCUUUUGAAGGGAAUGGAGGGGAGUAAGAUAAGGAGAUAGGCAGGGAGAGUUCCCCAGGCAAUAAACAUUUCUGUUAAAAAAAAAAAAAAAGUGUUGUAGCUGCAUUUUGUAUCCUCCCAGAUAAACGUAAAGUCCAAGGGGAGCCUCCUACUCAUUCUUUCCAGGUAUUUGGGGGGAAAUAGGUCGCAGCAAAACAUUCCACAAUUUUACCUCUUUGUAAGCAUUUCUCUUCAGUGAUAUGCGGGCCUUUAAAAAAUAAUUUUGCCCAGAGGUAACAGGCUUAAGUUAAGGAUGGAUAACGUUCACCUCACUUGAAGGAGCUCAUGUAGUAUUUGACAGAACAUUCAGUUCCAGAGAAAUCAUCACAAAGAGAUUUAUUCUAUUUUGGAAAAUGUGACACAUCACCAAUUUGUAUUGUCUGUCGAGAGGUACAGAAAAUCCAGGUUCGGUGGCAUUUUCUACCGGGCAGCGGUCAGGGUUCCGGAGGAGGGGGCUGGGCAGCCCGGAGGGCAUGGGAUACUGGGGUGAGUAGCAGCAGGAGUGGACACUACCCAGCAGAGCUCUCGUCCCAGUCCUCUCGCUCCUUCUUGCACAUUCUCGCCCUUCCCACCUCUUCCCCAGUCCUACUUCCUACAGAAAGGAAGCUCCGUUUCUGAGAGCCAGUGGAGCAUGACCUCGGGAAGCAUCUCCUCUCAGAAAUGCCACCUGACAGAGGUCCUCUCAGGACCAAAUGUCACGUGGGAGCUGAGUGCCACCUGGGUGCCAUUCAUCUGGUGAGAAAGCAAUUCCUUUUAUUGGAGGGGAUUAUCUGUUGUUUACGAGGGUUCAGCAUGAUAAUGGGGACCUUAAAACCCCUUAUUGAUGACACUCUUCUUUACCAGACUGGGAAACAGUCCUUGAGGAUGCUGUUUUCCUGGAAGUGCUACAAAUGAAGGACAAAAUUCUCCAGAACAUGCUUCCUUGCUUUGCCACCAAAUCAUCACUACACAAUCAAACAUAAAAAGUGAUAAAUGUAUUUAGGUGGGGAGAAUAAAUGUUGCUAACACUGCACUCUGGGUCCACAAGGACACCUGGAAAAGUUCCUGGUGUCACAUGAACGGGCUUCAUCACCUUAGAGGAAAAGGGCGUUCUGGGAGAUGUGUCUUCUAGCUCAGUGUUGGAAAACAUCCUGCAAAGAGCCAGGCAUUAAAUAUUUGGGGUUUUCAGGGCCAUAAAGUCUCUGUGACAGCUCCUCAACUCUGCCAAUGUAGUUUGAAAGCCGCCAUAGACGGGAUAUAAAAGAAUGAAGGUGGCCGUUCCACUCUGAAGUUCCAAUAAAACUUUAUUUACAAGGACAGGUGGAACAAAAGAAAAGAGAAGAAGAGGAAAAGAUGGAUAGCCCUUUUUUCUGAUACCUAUUCUGGCUUAUUUCUCAUUAAAUAAUUACAAAUUAUUUCAUCUUUGAAUCUGUCUUCUCCUAAAUCAAGUAAAGAUAUUACUUCUCUAUCUCACAGGUUUUCAGAGACCCUGGAAACAUUUUCAAAGGCGUGAAGCACCGUACACAUGCAAUGGGCUUCCAUCAUGCGUGAAAUCAACAAUCCUUGGAGUUCCCAUCAUGGCGCAGCGGAAGCGAAUCCAACUAGGAACCAUGAGGUUGCAGGUUCGAUCCCUGGCCUUGAUCAGUUAAGGAUCCGGCAUUGCUGUGAACUGGGGUGUAGGUCGCAGACAUGGCUCGGGUCUGGCGUUGCUGUGGCUCUGGCGUAGGCCGGCAGCAACAGCUCCGAUUCGAUCCCUAGCCUGGGAACCUCCAUGUGCUGCGGGUGCAGCCCUAAAAAGACAAAAAGACAAAAAAAAAAAAUUCUAACUUGGAUCUAGUGCAGAUUCUUCCAAGACGUUCGCGUGCAAAAGCAGCCUCUAGGGGUCAAAGAAACACAUCUAGAGAUGGAUGGAUCCUGGCCCAGUCACAUCAAGGGCUGUUUUAGAUGGAUGGCUAUCACAAGCCUGGCCUGCAUGGUAUUGAAAUUACACACCUUCACUCUUGGGGCUGCUUCAGACGCAUUCUACAGUCAUAACAGAAAUAUAUUUCUCAUGCUCAGCGCUAGGGUUUGAAUUAGGUAAACAAAUCCCCAGAUCCCUUCUACAGGCUUUCUUGUCAAUGACUCACAUCCUACAAUUUCCCCUUUUUUUCAGUCUGUCUCUGUGCAUUUCUCUCACUAUAUAUGCAACACAUAGUUUUUCUCCUUCCCUACCACGGAGUGGCGAAAGCCCAUACGGAAGCCAGUGAUCCAGCUCAUGACAGACGACCCUAAUGGGCAAUGAGUUGGAAGCGGAUAACACGAUCAUACGUGGACCCCAUGUCAGCUUCAUCAUCCAAGUCCAGCCAGUUGAAGGAAAGGCAAUAAGAAGAAUCCCUUCUGCGUCCUCUGUCAUAAAAUCGCAGUUCGCACCCAGCAAUGCAUGUGGCAUGAGAUCUGCACAAUUCCUUCACAAACACACAUGCAUGCUUGUAUUCCUCUUCCAUCCCCUCCAGCGCCUAGCCUUGGCCAGUCUCUACCUGGGUCACAGAACCACCCUAGGAAAAACUUAUCCUCAGAAACUUUGAGAUGAGUAGUUGCUAAAUAGAGGUUCGAUAAUAAGCUGUCACCUGCUGCUCUGUUUUGCACUGCAAAUGUAAGAAUAUAGAAACAUUUUAAGCAGCUUAGGGGCAGCAAUAAUAGAAAACUAGUGAUUUGGGUAAUUUACAUAUUUAUAGAGGCUGUGGGGAUUUUAGUCAGGAAACAAUGAAGAAAACAGAGUUGUCAAUGAUCAAAUGCCGCCUGCCAUGAAGAGCUAAAACCAGUAAUUUAGAGCUAAGCUCAGUUACACCUUUGAAAUUACUGCAGAAAAGAAAAAUAAAACACCAAAAAUGUGCAUUUUGGUUCAGGUUAUCAGCUUUAGAGCUCUAUAAAAUGAAUGCAUCUGAGCAUGUGACAUUUCACACAGGUAAAAAAAUACCAUUACAGAGAAUAACAGCGCAAAUGAAAAACGAACUGUGCAAAUGGAUGAUAAGGUUUCCUACACGGCUCUCUUGGGAAUAUCUGCAUUUUCAUACGAACAAAGGCCUCAGUCAAAGGGAAAACUCUCUAAUAGUACAAUCCAAGAUAUUGGAGGCAAAGACUCCUUCCGACUAUAUCCCAUCUCCUCUGAGUCCUGGCCGAUGUCCUCACUAAGCUUCAGAUCAGUCAGUGGCCAUUUGGCAUUCGUAGGGUCUAUUCUCUCCAUAUUUCCUACCCCUUAAAAAUGAAUUAAACUCCUAAAUCACCUACCAAGCACAGUGCUCAGGUGAACAGAGAGCAUCUCAGGGUAGAGAAGAUGGGGGGCACUUUUCUUUCAUACCCCAUAACCUAUAUAGGUAUGCUCACCAGUGGGAGACACAGCAUGUGCAAAGGCCCAGCUGCAGAAGGAGUCAAGGACAUAGCGUAUAUGCUAUGGUGGACAUUUCCAGCCAGUUCCCUUUAUUUGGACCCUCUUUUUACACCUGCUCAAUUUUUCUUCUGGCCACACACACAAAGGCAUGUUAAGUCUGCUUUCACAGCCCAGGGGCCCCGUAUUCUCAGCAGGCCUGUGUAAGACUGUCUCCCUUAAUAAAAGUUCUGGAUCACUCAAAGAUGGAAAAAUCCUUGGAAAGAUCCAAGCAGAAUUUUUCAAACCUCUCUGCAUUGUAGAGCAUCCUCUCCCAUUUUCCGUCUAUUUCCUACAAUUCUAGCAACCUCUAAAGAUAUUUUUUUCAAGGGAAAACUAAAAGAGAUUCAGCUAGGGGAUUAGCCACAGGCCCGGAGGUCUUAAGCAGAUCGAUUCAAGAUGCGCCAGAAUUUCAAUUGCUUGAGAGUAGACUAAGACAUUCGUUGGACCAGGAUCUUAAAUGGGAAAAUGGCCCAAUUGCAAGAGUGGAGACUGACCUAGACAAAUUGAAAGUGACUUCAGGACCCUGAAAUGUCAGGCCUGCACUGAAUCUGCAGGGUGAUUUAAACAAGGGUCUGGGGGUAGGCGGGGCAGGAGGCCCUAUUCAUUUAUCCUCUGCCUCUCUGAAGUCAGUGUCCAGUUUUGAGGUAAAAGGAAGACUAAUCAGACACAGGCAAACCUCCAGCAUCAAAAGGUUCUGUAAAAGCAGAGGGAAGCCACUCCUGGGAUGGCUACUACCAGCAGAUAACUUUGAAGAAACUGUGAGUAACGACAAAGCCCC
rnacentral:lncRNA from 1 species